rnacentral:rRNA from 1 species
AUUGAACGCUGGCGGCAUGCUUUACACAUGCAAGUCGAACGCAGCGCGGGCUUCGGCCUGGCGGCGAGUGGCGAACGGGUGAGUAAUACAUCGGAACGUGCCCAGUAGUGGGGGAUAGCUCGGUCGAAAGCCGGAUUAAUACCGCAUACGACCUGAGGGUGAAAGCGGGGGAUCUUCGGACCUCGCGCUAUUGGAGCGGCCGAUGCAGAUUAGCUAGUUGGUGGGGUAAAGGCCUACCAAGGCGACGAUCUGUAGCUGGUCUGAGAGGACUGACCAGCCACACUGGGACUGAGACACGGCCCAGACUCCUACGGGAGGCAGCAGUGGGGAAUUUUGGACAAUGGGCGAAAGCCUGAUCCAGCAAUGCCGCGUGUGUGAUGAAGGCCUUCGGGUUGUAAAGCACUUUUGGCGGGAACGAAAAGGACUGUGCCAAUACCACGGUUCGAUGACGGUACCCGCAGAAUAAGCACC